AGAGUCUUCAUAGCUUUUCCACAUCACCUUCUCUCCUAGCAACAUAAAAUAAAGUAGGCGGCGACCAGUUGUCACAAUAGAACUUGCACCGUGGUUCUGUGUUUUUCUUUCCCGUAUUGUACACUAAACCCUAGUUUUGUUUAUAAAUCAAACCAAAAAAUCAUACCACUAAACAACCAUCACAUCUCUAAACCGUCAUUCACCACGAUC
rnacentral:lncRNA from 1 species